rnacentral:lncRNA from 1 species
CAGGACUCAAACUGGACUAGGUCCACAAUGCUGGUAGUGAUGCUCACAGGACUGGGAGGUCGGGACUCAAGAAUAACGGGACAAACAGGAUUACUGGGCCUCACUUUUCUCCUAGUGGUGCUCCGAGGGUUGCUCGGCCUCCCCUCAGGUCUGGAAGGCUGUACGUCAGGCUGGACCAGGCCAACGGGGCUAACAGGCCGUCUAGUGGGGCGUCGAGAGUUGCUCGGCCUCCCCUCAGGUCUGGAAGGCUGUACGUCAGGCUGGACCAGGACAACUGGUCUAACAGGCCGUCUUGUGGGGCGUCGAGGGUUGCUAGGCCUCCCCUCAGGUCUAGUGAUGCUGACAGGGAUUCUAGGAAUCAUCAUCUCAUGCUGGUGCAGGCUCUCUGGGCUGCUGGGCCGGGAAUCAGGUAGAAGCUUGUAGUUCUUCAG